AAUUGAAACCAAACUAGAGGUAUAUCACUGUUAAUGAUAAAAAUGAAUUAACAUUCCAGUU
rnacentral:tRNA from 1 species